AGAGUUUGAUNNUGGCUCAGACGAACCUGGCGGCGUGCCUAAUACAUGCAAGUCGAACGCUUCUUUUUCCACCGGAGCUUGCUCCACCGGAAAAAGAGGAGUGGCGAACGGGUGAGUAACACGUGGGUAACCUGCCCAUCAGAAAGGGAUAACACUUGGAAACAGGUGCUAAUACCGUAUAACAAUCGAAACCGCAUGGUUUUGAUUUGAAAGGCGCUUUCGGGUGUCGCUGAUGGAUGGACCCGCGGUGCAUUAGCUAGUUGGUGAGGUAACAGCUCACCAAGGCGACGAUGCAUAGCCGACCUGAGAGGGUGAUCGGCCACAUUGGGACUGAGACACGGCCCAAACUCUACGGGAGGCAGCAGUAGGGAAUCUUCGGCAAUGGACGAAAGUCUGACCGAGCAACGCCGCGUGAGUGAAGAAGGUUUUCGGAUCGUAAAACUCUGUUGUUAGAGAAGAACAAGGAUGAGAGUAACUGUUCAUCCCUUGACGGUAUCUAACCAGAAAGCCACGGCUAACUACGUGCCAGCAGCCGCGGUAAUACGUAGGUGGCAAGCGUUGUCCGGAUUUAUUGGGCGUAAAGCGAGCGCAGGCGGUUCUUAAGUCUGAUGUGAAAGCCCCCGGCUCAACCGGGGAGGGUCAUUGGAAACUGGGAGACUUGAGUGCAGAAGAGGAGAGUGGAAUUCCAUGUGUAGCGGUGAAAUGCGUAGAUAUAUGGAGGAACACCAGUGGCGAAGGCGGCUCUCUGGUCUGUAACUGACGCUGAGGCUCGAAAGCGUGGGGAGCAAACAGGAUUAGAUACCCUGGUAGUCCACGCCGUAAACGAUGAGUGCUAAGUGUUGGAGGGUUUCCGCCCUUCAGUGCUGCAGCUAACGCAUUAAGCACUCCGCCUGGGGAGUACGACCGCAAGGUUGAAACUCAAAGGAAUUGACGGGGGCCCGCACAAGCGGUGGAGCAUGUGGUUUAAUUCGAAGCAACACGAAGAACCUUACCAGGUCUUGACAUCCUUUGACCACUCUAGAGAUAGAGCUUCCCCUUCGGGGGCAAAGUGACAGGUGGUGCAUGGUUGUCGUCAGCUCGUGUCGUGAGAUGUUGGGUUAAGUCCCGCAACGAGCGCAACCCUUAUUGUUAGUUGCCAUCAUUUAGUUGGGCACUCUAGCAAGACUGCCGGUGACAAACCGGAGGAAGGUGGGGAUGACGUCAAAUCAUCAUGCCCCUUAUGACCUGGGCUACACACGUGCUACAAUGGGAAGUACAACGAGUCGCAAAGUCGCGAGGCUAAGCUAAUCUCUUAAAGCUUCUCUCAGUUCGGAUUGUAGGCUGCAACUCGCCUACAUGAGCCGGAAUCGCUAGUAAUCGCGGAUCAGCACGCCGCGGUGAAUACGUUCCCGGGCCUUGUACACACCGCCCGUCACACCACGAGAGUUUGUACACCCGAAGUCGGUGAGGUAACCUUUUGGAGCCAGCCGCCUAAGGUGGGAUAGAUGAUUGGGGUGAAGUCGUAACAAGGUAGCCGUAUCGGAAGGUGCGGCUGGAUCACCUCCUUUCU
rnacentral:rRNA from 1 species